rnacentral:rRNA from 1 species
UACGUAGGGUGCGAGCGUUAAUCGGAAUUACUGGGCGUAAAGGGCGCGUAGGCGGCCUGCUAAGUCGAACGUGAAAUCCCUGGGCUCAACCCAGGAACUGCGUCCGAUACUGGUUGGCUUGAAUCCGGGAGAGGGACGUGGAAUUCCAGGUGUAGCGGUGAAAUACGUAGAUAUCAGGAGGAAUACCGGUGGCGAAGGCGGCUAUCUGGCCAUGUA